GUUCCGAUGACGAGCCCCAAAAAGAACAGGCGAAAUGCGCAUCCGGAAU
rnacentral:hammerhead_ribozyme from 1 species